AAUAGAUACCCAGGUAGUCCACGCCGUAAACGAUGAGUGCUAAGUGUUAGGGGGUUUCCGCCCCUUAGUGCUGCAGCUAACGCAUUAAGCACUCCGCCUGGGGAGUACGGUCGCAAGACUGAAACUCAAAGGAAUUGACGGGGGCCCGCACAAGCGGUGGAGCAUGUGGUUUAAUUCGAAGCAACGCGAAGAACCUUACCAGGUCUUGACAUCCCAUUGACCGCUAUGGAGACAUAGUUUUCCCUUCGGGGACAGUGGUGACAGGUGGUGCAUGGUUGUCGUCAGCUCGUGUCGUGAGAUGUUGGGUUAAGUCCCGCAACGAGCGCAACCCUUGUUCUUAGUUGCCAUCAUUUAGUUGGGCACUCUAAGGAGACUGCCGGUGACAAACCGGAGGAAGGUGGGGAUGACGUCAAAUCAUCAUGCCCCUUAUGACCUGGGCUACACACGUGCUACAAUGGACGGUACAAACGGUUGCCAACCCGCGAGGGGGAGCUAAUCCGAUAAAACCGUUCUCAGUUCGGAUUGUAGGCUGCAACUCGCCUAC
rnacentral:rRNA from 1 species